rnacentral:rRNA from 1 species
UAUUUUAGUUGUUUUUGUAAAACUUAGAAGAUUACUUGUACCAAUAUGCUAAUUUUAGUAAUCAAUUUAGUUUAUAAAAAAUAAAUAAGCUUGGCUCUGACUUAUAAAUAUAGCAGGAACUAAAAGAUACACAUGGUUUUUUUGGAGAGAAGCGAGGUAAAGGAGACUGUAAUAAAAAUAAAAAAUUUGAGUUAGCACUCUCUUUUAAAGUAUUAUAGUUACAAAAAAUGCUUUGAAAAGUCCCGCUAACACCAGUGCUGAAGGUUAAUGAAAAAGUGAAAACUUGAAUUAAUUUAGUACACCUAAAUCUGGUUAACUUGGUGCCAGCAUCCGCGGUUAGACCAAGAGAUUAAGUUAUAUUUUAAGGUAAAAAGACAGUUAGGUUUGAAAUAAUUUAGUUCAUUGAUCAUUUAUNNNNNNNNNNNNNNNNUAUAUAAAUAGUUAAUUUAGUUAUAACUUUUUUGCUGAAGCUGUGAUAGUCCUGAGGGAAACUGGGAUUAGAUACCCCAUUAUUCUUGACUGUAAAUCUAAUCAAAUUUACCAGAGUACUAUGAAUCUAAAUAACAAUUUAAAACUCAAAGGGCUUGGCGGUGUUUUAGACCUAUUAGGGGAACCUGUCUCAUAAUCGACAAUCCGCGUUAGACCUAACCCUAUUUUGUAAUCAGUUUGUAUACCGUCGUCGUCAGGUAACUUUUAAAAAUUAAGAAGUUAGCACUGAAAAUUUUUAAAUUUAAACGUCAGAUCAAGGUGCAGCUAAUAAAAGGGAGAGGAUGGGUUACAAUUAUUAUAUUUAUAACUACGAAAAAUUUUGUGAAAACUUAAUUNNNNNNNNNNNNNNNNNNNNNNNNNNNNNNNAUAAACAGUUUGAAUAUGGCUCUGAAACGUGCACACAUCGCCCGUCGCUCUCGUUGAAAAAUGAGAUAAGUCGUAACAUAGCAGAGGUAAUGGAAAUUGUCUCUAGAUGA